CGUGGGGUGCAGGCGUUAAUCGGAAUUACUGGGCGUAAAGCGUGCGCAGGCGGUCUUUUAAGUCAGAUGUGAAAUCCCCGGGCUCAACCUGGGACCUGCAUUUGUGACUGCAAGGCUAGAGUACGGUAGAGGGGGAUGGAAUUCCGCGUGUAGCAGUGAAAUGCGUAGAUAUGCGGAGGAACACCGAUGGCGAAGGCAAUCCCCUGGACCUGUACUGACGCUCAUGCACGAAAGCGUGGGGAGCAAACAGGAUUAGAUACCCUGGUAGUCCACGCCCUAAACGAUGUCAACUGGUUGUUGGGUCUUUACUGACUCAGUAACGAAGCUAACGCGUGAAGUUGACCGCCUGGGGAGUACGGCCGCAAGGUUG
rnacentral:rRNA from 1 species